UACGUAGGGGGCAAGCGUUGUCCGGAUUCAUUGGGCGUAAAGAGCGUGUAGGCGGCCAGGUAGGUCCGUUGUGAAAACUCGAGGCUCAACCUCGAGACGUCGAUGGAAACCAUCUGACUAGAGUCCGGAAGAGGAGAGUGGAAUUCCUGGUGUAGCGGUGAAAUGCGCAGAUAUCAGGAAGAACACCUAUGGCGAAGGCAGCUCUCUGGGACGGUACUGACGCUGAGACGCGAAAGCGUGGGGAGCGAACAGG
rnacentral:rRNA from 1 species